rnacentral:sRNA from 1 species
CUCUCAGAUCCGCUCGUCUCUCGCUCUCCCAGAUCCGCUCCUCUCUCUCUGAACCGCAUCCCUCCCCUGCCGCCGUAACGUUCCCUGCCACCGCCCUCAUCCCUCCCUGCCGCCGCGCCCGCACCUCUACGGCUCUACCUUCGCCGACACGACCCUGGAUCAACGCCUCACCAACCGUCGACCCUGAUGGCCUGACCUUAUAAGGACGCCAACACGAUCCUGAUGGCCUGACCGCUGUCCCUGCUCGCCACCCAUCUCACUGCCAUCUCAUUUCACGGUAAAAGGCUUGCUGUUGCUGCCCACUGCAUGCCCGCUGGCCGUAGGUAGAUACUGAGCUAAAUAUAUACCAAAGCAAAAUUCUACCUUCCCUAUCAGUGUUGCUCUCCAUCAGGAUCGUCCUACUAUCCGCUCUCUCCAAGGUGAGUCCAAGAAACCUUCUCUUGUGUCAAUUCCAUGAAGUUAUAUAUCUCAUCUCUCAAAUAUAUGUGAAUUGUGCUUGAUUAUGUCCCUCUGGUACUGUUUAUUUGUAUUUCUGUGGUGCUAGAAACAUCUGAAUUAUUGUGCACAUGCUCUUAUCCUCACUCUAAGUACUUUUUACAACAUUUUCUGGUUUAUUUGGUUACUGCCAAACUGAGAUCAACUGAUACAUCUAUUCCAGCAGAUGAGAAGUCCACCUAAUCAGAUGGGCAGGGUUGGCUUGGUUCAAUUUAAGAAAUCUGAAUUUGGCAAAUUUAAGAAAUUGGUUCAAUUUACGAGCAGCAUCAUAUUAGAAAUACUGACAUACUCGACUGCAAAACUAUUUUCAAGACUAAACUGAAUUGGAGAUUGAUGUUCCCAAGUACUGUGAUAAGAAUUGAGAUAGUGUGAAGUGCAGGAAACCAAAUAGCACUACUACGGAUCCGGGCUUCAGUGACGGGUCAUCUGUGACGGGCCAACACAACUCGUCAAAGAUGAGUCAUCUCUGACGGGCCGAAAAAAUAUCCUCUUCAAUAUAUUGCUACUAGGGAGGACCCAUCACAGAUGUAUCGUUUACUAAUAAUUAGCUCUUCAACAGAACCUGUUGCUCAUAUAUUUGACAUGGUUUUGUACAGUAGAUAAUAAUCAAGAUUCAGUAAUGAGAGUAUAGAAGAUACCUUGCUGC